AUUUGAAGAAUCCAAAUUCAAAACGGCUAGCCGGAAGAGAGUGGAGGGUGUGUGCGUGGUUGUGGGCGAUUUUUAGUGUAAUGGGGGUAACUUCCUUUAAGCUUUUUACUUAGGAAUUCAAGGCAAAUACAGCCAACAGGUGCAUUGUAAGCACAGCUACAGCACCAUGAAUCGUGUUGAGGAUCUGGUUUUACAAUGGGUGAAUGUCCACAAGCUAGAAACUCCGGCGAAAAGUCUACGGGAGCUGCUGGAGCCCAGUGUGGCCCAUAUCAUUCUCAAGCCUUUUAACCUCAACUUCUGCACUGAUGAUGGCCAUAUCGUGGCAACGCUGGAGAAGUUCAUCAAUGGCCGGUUUCCGAAGCAGCCGAUCAACUUUGUGCGCGUGCGCGCCGGUCAGCAGGACGAACUGCUGCGGCUCGGUGUUGUGCUGCUCUAUCUGUCCUGUGUGCAGACGCGCAACCCUGGCCUCCAGCAGCGGCUCACCAAACUGCCCAACGCCGUACAGGAGGGUAUGCGUUUCGUGUUCGAGCGGCUGAUGAAGCGCGGGCAGGUGUCCCGUGACGACGUCACAGAUGUCAUCAACUCCGUCGCGGAGAUGGUGCGACUACCCACCGAGGCACUGCGCCGCCUCACCGCCUCGCCCGUGUCGCCGGCGGCUCCUUCACCGACGCUCUACUCUUACUCGCCGGGAAAGUCGCCCCUGCAGGCUAUGUUCGAUUCGCCCGUGCUGCAGGAGGUGAUCCGCCUGAGCCGUGCGCUCGACACCUCCGAGAAGGAAGUGAUAGCGCUGCGAGAGGCCAAGGCUCGCGCCGAGGACGAGACGGCCGAGGCACGCCUGGAGGCCGAACAGUACGCUCAACGCGUCGCCGACCAGCGGUCAAAGUCUGAGCAGCUGCGGGAGCGGCUCGAUGAGAAGCGUCAGGAGAUUGCCGAGCUCCAGGCUAAACUGGGCGACCACGGCCAGGUGCCGCUGACGGAGGAGCACCGGCGCCGACUCCGAGAGCACAAGUCACUGCUGAAGGAGAAUGAACAGCUCCGAUGUCAACUGUUGGACGCGACCACUGAACGGGACGACUUCAGCGCAAAGCUGGAGCGGGUGCGCGCCACCCAGCAGCGCUCUGUGCAGGAGACGCUGGCGCUGCAGCGCGCUCUGGCCGCCGCCGAGGUCAGCCAGGUGCAGCUGGUCGAACAGAACGACUCACUGACGGGCCGGCUGACGCAGCUGGAACACGAGCUGCUCAUCAGCAGCCAGAUGAUCCAUGAUCUGCAGGCGCGCCCGACCAGUGACGAAUCAAUGGACCAGUCGCUUCCCAGCCCGGCCGGCCCGGCCGCCGGAAACCUGGCUGCCGAGCUGGCGGUGGCUGAGAACGCCGACCUGCGGACACAGGCCGAACAGCUGGACCGGGAGCUGCGCGCGGCGCGCACCCAGACCCAGCAGCUGCAGGAGGCCGCCGAAAAACAGCAGGAGGCGCUGCGCACAGCGCGCGCAGAAACCCGCGAGAUCCAGACGCUACUCACGAGUGCCAAGUCUGAAGCUGAUUCUGCCCUGGAAGAGAAGGACAAAACUAUCGAGAACCUUCAGACCCUGCUUCAAAGUGCCAAGGCUGAGGCUCAUUCUGCUCUGGAGCAGAAGGAAGAGAGCAUCAAGAACGUUCAGGAUGCUUUGGAAAAGGCCGAGUAUGAGCUACAGUGUGCGCACCAACAAAGGGAAGAAGCCGUGCAGACACUCCAGCUGUCUCUUCAGAGUGCCAAAGCUGAGUUCGAAUCUGUCCUUGAGGAGAAGAAAAACAUCAUUCAGAACUUUGAGACCUCCCUGGAGUGUGCCAAGGCCGAGGCUCGGUCUGCCCUCGAACAGAAGGAACAGGUCAUUCAGGAUCUUCAGACUCGCCUCCAGAGUUCCCAGGCCGAGGCUCAUUCUGCGAUCGAGCAGAAAGGAGAGGAAAUCCGAGCUCUCCAAAGCUCACUGGAGUGCGCCAAGGCCGAGGCUCAGUCCGUUCUUGCUCUGAAGGAGGAGACGAUCCAGAAGCUUCAGGUCAUACUGGAUAAUGAAAAAGCUGAGGCCCUGUCUGCUCUCAAAGAGAAGGAUGAGGCUGUUCGAAACCUUCAAACAUUGCACCAGACCGCCAUGGCUGAGGCUCACUCUGCCCUGGAGCAGAAGGAAGAUAGUCUGAAGAACCUUCAGGUAGCAUUGAAAGCUGCCCAGGACGACGCCCAGACUGUUCUCAAACAGAAGGAAGAGGCCAUCAAGAAUCUUGAAGCUGCACUACAGAGUAUGGAGACUGAGACUCAGACUCUCCUUCAACGGAAAGAAAACGUCAUCCAGGACCUUGAGACGUCCCUGAAGAACGCGAAGGCGGAUGCUCAGUCCGCCCUGGAACAAAACGAAGAGGCAAUCCGGAAUCUCGAGUCCUCGCUCGAAAGUGCCAAGACUGAAAGUCAAUCUGUUGCUGAGAAGAAGGAAGAGGCCAUUCAGAAUAUGCAGACGUUACUAGAAAGUGUCAAGGCUGAAGCUCAGUCAGUUCUUGAAGAGAAAGAAAAGGCCAUCAAGAACCUUGAAACCUUGCUCGAGAGGUCCCGCACUGAAGUUCAGUCUGCCGAAGAGCAGAAGGAGGAGGUCAUCUGUAACCUGGAGGCAGCACUUGAGACUUCAAAGGCUGAGAUUCAGUCCGUCCUGGAGAAGAAACAAGAGGCCGUCCAGGAGCUUCAAGCCAACCUGGAAAAUGCCAAGAUUGAGGCUCAAUCUAACCUUGAGCAAAAGGAACAGGCUAUCCAGAACCUCGUGACCUCACUGGAGAGUGCGAAGUCUGAGGCACAGUCUGCUCUUGAAGAAAAAGACAGGGCUAUACAGAACCUUGAAACACUGCUGAAAACCUCCAAUGCUGAAACCCAUGCUGUCCUGGAGCAGAAAGAAGAGACGAUCCGGAAGCUUCAGGUCACACUGGCUAACGAAAAAGCUGAGGCCCUGUCUGCUCUCAAAGAGAAGGAUGAGGCUGUACGAAACCUUCAAGCAUUGCACCAGACCGCCAUGGCUGAGGCUCACUCUGUCCUAGAGCAGAAGGAAGAGAGCCUGAAAACCCUUCAGGUAGCAUUGAAAGCUGCCCAGGACGACGCCCAGACUGUUCUCAAACAGAAGGAAGAGGCCAUCAAGAAUCUUGAAGCUGCACUACAGAGUAUGGAGACUGAGACUCAGACUCUCCUUCAACGGAAAGAAAACGUCAUCCAGGACCUUGAGACGUCCCUGAAGAACGCGAAGGCGGAUGCUCAGUCCGCCCUGGAACAAAACGAAGAGACGAUCCGGAAUCUCGAGUCCUCGCUAGAAAGUGCUAAGACUGAAAGUCAAUCUGUUGCUGAGAAGAAGGAAGAGGCCAUUCAGAAUAUGCAGACGUUACUAGAAAGUGUCAAGGCUGAAGCUCAGUCAGUUCUUGAAGAGAAAGAAAAGGCCAUCAAGAACCUCGAAACCUUGCUCGAGAGGUCCCGCACUGAAGCUCAGUCUGCCCAAGAGCAGAAGGAGGAGGUCAUCCGUAACCUGGAGGCAGCACUUGAGACUUCAAAGGCUGAGAUUCAGUCUGUCCUGGAGAAGAAGCAAGAGGCCGUCCAGGAGCUUCAAGCCAGCCUGGAAAAUGCCAAGAUUGAGGCUCAAUCUAACCUUGAGCAAAAGGAACAGGCUAUCCAGAACCUCGUGACCUCACUGGAGAGUGCGAAGUCUGAGGCACAGUCUGCUCUUGAAGAAAAAGAUGGGGCUAUACAGAACCUUGAAACACUGCUGAAAACCUCCGAUGCUGAAACCCAUGCUGCCCUCGAGCAGAAAGAAGAGACGAUCCAGAAGCUUCAGGCUACACUGGAUAAUGAAAAAGCUGAGGCUCUGACUGUUCUAAAAGAGAAGGAUGAGGCGCUUCGAAACCUUCAAGCAUUGCACCAGACCGCCAUGGCUGAGGCUCACUCUGCCCUGGAGCAGAAGGAAGAGAGUCUGAAGAACCUUCAGGUAGCAUUGAAAGCUGCCCAGGACGACGCCCAGUCUGUUCUCAAACAGAAGGAAGAGGUCAUCGGGAAUCUUGAAGCUGCACAACAGAGUAUGGAGACUCAGACUCAGACUCUCCUUCAACGGAAAGAAAACGUCAUCCAGGACCUUGAGACGUCCCUGAAGAACGCGAAGGCGGAUGCUCAGUCCGCCCUGGAACAAAACGAAGAGACGAUCCGGAAUCUCGAGUCCUCGCUAGAAAGUGCUAAGACUGAAAGUCAAUCUGUUGCUGAGAAGAAGGAAGAGGCCAUUCAGAAUAUGCAGACGUUACUAGAAAGUGUCAAGGCUGAAGCUCAGUCAGUUCUUGAAGAGAAAGGAGAGGCCAUUAAGAAUCUGGAAACCUUGCUCGAGAGGUCCCGCACUGAAGCUCAGUCUGCCCAAGAGCAGAAGGAGGAGGUCAUCCGUAACCUGGAGGCAGCACUUGAGACUUCAAAGGCUGAGAUUCAGUCUGUCCUGGAGAAGAAGCAAGAGGCCGUCCAAGAGCUUCAAGCCAACCUGGAAAAUGCCAAGAUUGAGGCUCAAUCUAACCUUGAGCAAAAGGAACAGGCUAUCCAGAACCUCCUGGCCUCACUGGAGGGUGCGAAGUAUGAGGCACAGUCUGCUCUUGAAGAAAAAGACAGGGCUAUACAGAACCUCGAAACACUGCUGAAAACCUCCGAUGCUGAAACCCAUGCUGUCCUCGAGCAGAAAGAAGAGACGAUCCAGAAGCUUCAGGCUACACUGGAUAACGAAAAAACUGAGGCCCUGUCUGCUCUCAAAGAGAAGGAUGAGGCCGUUCGAAACCUUCAAACAUCGCACCAGACCGCCAUGGCUGAGGCUCACUCUGUCCUAGAGCAGAAGGAAGAGAGCCUGAAAACCCUUCAGGUAGCAUUGAAAGCUGCCCAGGACGACGCCCAGUCUGUUCUCAAACAGAAGGAAGAGGCCAUCAAGAAUCUUGAAGCUGCACUACAGAGUAUGGAGACUGAGACUCAGACUCUCCUUCAACGGAAAGAAAACGUCAUCCAGGACCUUGAGACGUCCCUGAAGAACGCGAAGGCGGAUGCUCAGUCCGCCCUGGAACAAAACGAAGAGACAAUCCGGAAUCUCGAGUCCUCGCUCGAAAGUGCCAAGACUGAAAGUCAAUCUGUUGCUGAGAAGAAGGAAGAGGCCAUUCAGAAUAUGCAGACGUUACUAGAAAGUGUCAAGGCUGAAGCUCAGUCAGUUCUUGAAGAGAAAGAAAAGGCCAUCAAGAACCUUGAAACCCGGCUGCUCGAGAGGUCCCGCACUGAAGCUCAGUCUGCCCAAGAGCAGAAGGAGGAGGCCAUCCGGAACCUGGAGGCAGCACUUGAGACUUCAAAGGCUGAGAUUCAGUCUGUCCUGGAGAAGAAGCAAGAGGCCGUCCAGGAACUUCAAGCCAGCUUGGAAAAUGUCAGGGCUGAUGCUCAGUCUGCUCUUAAGGAGAAGGAAGAUGCCAUACAGAACAUGCAAGCCCUCCUCCAGAGUUCUAAGACUGAAUCUCAUUCUACCCUCGAACAGAAAGAAGAGGCCAUCCGAAACCUUGAGGCCUCACUGCAGAGUGCCAAGGCCGAGAUUCAGUCUAUCCUGGAGACGAAGGAAGAAACUGUUCAAAGCCUAGAGACUUCUCUGAAGAGUGCGAAGGCAGAUGCUCAAUCUGCCAUGGACCAGAAGGAUGAGCAAAUCGGACAGCUGCAGGCCUCUCUGGAAAGUGCUAAGACUGAGGCUCAGUCGAACCUAGAAGCGAAAGAAGAGACCAUUCAAAACCUCCAGGCCUUGCUAGAGAGUGCGAAGACCGAGGCUCGAUCUGUCCUCGAAGAGAAAGAAGAAACCAUCAAGAACCUUCAGACAACCCUGAAGGGUGCCCAAGAUGACGCUCAAUCUAUCGCUGAGCAGAAGGAAGAGACCAUCCGUGGUCUCCAGGCAUCCCUAGAAAGCGCCAAGGCCGAAACCCAGUCUUUGGUCGAAAAGAACGAGGAGACCAUACAGAACCUUGAGCUUUCACUGAAGAACGCCAAGGUAGAUGCUCAAUCUGCCCUCGACAAGAAAGAAGAGACUAUACAAAACCUGCAGACCUCUUUGGAAAAGGCCAAGUCUGAGGCUCAAUCUGAGCGCGUGAUGAAGGACGAGACUGUUCAAAAACUGGAGACCUCACUAGGAAGUGCCAAGGCUGAGGUUCAGACUAUUCUAAAGGAGAAAGAAGAUGCCAUCCAGAGCAUUCAGGCCUUGCUUGAGAGUUCUAAGGCUGAGAUGCAGUCUGCCGUCGAACAGAAAGAGGAGACCAUUCGCAGCCUCGAGACUUCCCUUGCGAGUGCUAAGGCCGAUGCUCAAGCUGUUAUCGAUCAGAAAGAAGACGCCAUCCAGAGUCUCCAAAACUCGCUGAAGAGUGCCCAGCUUAAAGCCCAGUCUGACCUGGAUGAGAAGGAAGAGACCCUCCAAGACCUUAAGUCUUCACUGGAUACUGUGAAGGCCGAAGUUCAGACUAUCGUGGAGCAGAAAGAGGAGGAACUCCAGAUCCUCCAGACAUCACUAGAGAGCGUCAAGUCCGAGCUGAAAACGGUGCGCGCCGAGUCUGAGCGCCUGGCGCAGUCGCUGCGGACGGAGGUGGAGGAGGCGCGGUCUCAGAUGGAGCGGGCGCAGAGCGAGCAGCGCACUCAGCACCUGCAGCUGCAGCGCCUGCGGCUGGAGAACCGUCAGCUGGCCGAGCAGCGAGACGGCGCCGACCGGCAGGCCGCCGAGCGGCUGCGCGCAGACCUCGAGGACCAGAUCAAGGCCGAGUGCCAGGAGACGUUCAACACCGUCUUCCGCAAGACGCGCGACGAGAUGACGGCCAAGGCGGCGUCCGAUCUGAAGCGCCAGGCGGCCACCUACGACCGCGAGGUCAGCCGUCUGUCAAGCGAGAAUCGCGCGCUCCUCGACAAGAUCAAGCAGCUGAGUGGCGUGUCGGACCAGGCUCGCUCCGGGUACGAGAGCCGUAUCACGCAGCUGGAGCAGGCGCUGCGGCGCUCCGAGUCGGAACGGAAGACGCUGGACGCGCAGCUGGCCCUGGCCGACCGCCGGCUGCGCGACAUGGACCGACGCGGCUCGACGGCCGGCAGUCCGCGCCCGCGCUCCGAGGCGGCGCGCCCGCGCAGCGCGCUGGUGGCCUCCACGUCUGAGGUGCUGCGCCCGACACACGAGGGUAUGCCGCCGCCGGACCGGCUGCCCAAGAGCGUCAGUCACGGGGAGGUGUACGCGCGGCCGUCGCUGCCGCCGGGCGCCGGCGCGCUGUUCCCCUGCAAUGACGAGGAGCCCGAGAUCUUCAGCUCGUCCUACCUCGGCGUGCAGGAAGGACGCUGCGAGGUCGACUACCUGGGUCGGAUGAGCGAGCUGCAGCGGCGCAACUCGCUGAUGCCGCCCCACCUGCGCUCGUGCUACGCGCCGGAGAUCAAUGUGCUUGGCCAGGCCUCGGCCACCAUGUCGGAGAAUGAACUACGGAACGGUGACGACAUCUCGCGCCUGAGCGCGCGCACGCGCCGCGUCACUCUGGACUCGCCGGCGGCCAACACGCGCUCGGCCAAACGCAAGUCGGCCGAGAGCGCUGCCGACGUGCUCUCUGACAGCCUGGACAGCAACUCGAGCACGUGCAGCAUCAACAGCAAGCGCCGCCGGCGUGAUCAGCUGCAGCCGCCUCUCCGCCCAGUGACGCUCUGCCCACCGGCCGCUGUGGGUCGGCCCCCGCUGACCCGGCUGGACCGCCGCCCUGUCGCAUCAGACGUCGUACGCGCGCCCGAGGCGCGGCAACCUGACCCCGGCCAAAAACAUCAAGCCGGCCGACGACGACAGCUUGAGCAGCACGCGCGCCAGCUUGACCAGCCAGGAGCUGCCGGUGGACGUGCCGCCGGCCGCCGAGCCGCCCACGCCGCUGCUGGAUGUCGGUCAGCAGCGCAAAAAGGCCAAGACGCCCUCGUUUAAAAAGCUCUUCCGGUCGGCACGAGCAACUAAAGAGAACCACAGAGCCUCAGAUAGGAACAAGCUACUGCCAAGGAAAUGAGACCAGCAGCUUCAUAAUCAUCGUCAAUCGUCAUUAGUCUUCCGCGGAGCUUUUAGUCACCGUUUUAACUUGUAUAGUCACGCCGUAACUUGUAUAGUACCGUAUUUUACUUUGAAAUAAAUGCAUGCUUAGUC
rnacentral:misc_RNA from 1 species